AAAUAAAGAAAACUCUUUGAAUGAGAAGGUGUGUCCAAACCUUUGGUCUGUACUAUAUAUAUAUAUAUAUAUAUAUAUAUAUAUAUAUAUAUAUAUAUAUAUAUAUAUAUAUAUAUAUAUACAUUAUAGGGCGAUAUUUGACUCCUUAAAGAUUAGUUUUUUAACCUUUAUAAUCCCCUUUUUCAAACUUUAUUAAAUGUAUUCCAUAUUUUAAAGCCAAAACAUUUAGAUUUUAACUUAGCAUCAACAUUUCAUCUUUGCCAUGCACUUAACUUUUUUUGUUGCAUUAAGGAAUAUUUACAGACUUCAUGCAUAAUAACGAUGUUAUGAGAUUAAUGUUUAAAAUAUGAAGUUUUGAAUAUAGAAAUAUUAAACAAUUUAAAUGACUCAAUUUAUAAAAUGAAACUGAAACCGCCAGUAGGUGGCAGCAUGUCACUGAAUCAUUUAUUAAAUCGAUUCGUUCAAACGUCUGAUUCAUUUAUGAUUUUAAGACAGCACCGGAUGUAGUGUCUGGCGCGUUUUUUAGAUUGUUAGGUCAUUAUUAAUCUCUUUAUCAGAGAACAACAAAGAUGUCUGGUGUACCUAAUAAUUUUAGAAGACGUCUCAGUGGGAUUAGAGAUCGCAUAAAUGCCCAACUUGACAGUUUACUUGAAGCAUCACCAGCAGAGCUUGGAGAACAAAGUCUUGUGGACAGGUAGGGAAUGUCUGUCUGCCUAUCUAUCUAUCUAUCUAUCUAUCUAUCUAUCUAUCUAUCUAUCUAUCUAUCUAUCUAUCUAUCUAUCUAUCUAUCUAUCUGUAAAAUCUUUAAAUAAAAUCUAUUUAUUAGCCCUAUAAAUUCAUUGGAUGAUUUAAUUCGACAACUUAAAUCAUGACAUUAUAAUAACAAACAAUAAGUAUCAAACUUACUUUAUCUCAGAUCAUUAAUUAGGUUAUAGCAAAUAUGUUUAAAUUUCGUAGUAGAGUUAUGUUUAAAUGUUCUCUGAAAGGUUUGAGAUGUUCCGCAACGAACAGCCGUUGCAUGGUCCUGCUCGUCCCAGAAGGACGCGGAGGAGAAAUGUGACAUGUACAUUUAAAGUAACUCUUCUCCGCACUGGUAUUGAUCGGUUAUCUUCUUUGAGAGAUGCCAUUGCCAGUCAGAGACUUGUUGUACAGAGAGAGCAGAGUGAGACACAGUUUGCAGAAAUUCUCAGAAGCACGUUUCCACAGCUUCAAGGGAGAGAGUUUGAAUUAUGCAGGGUUGAUGCACAGAGGCAGGUUUCACGUUUGAGUCUGGAGUCAAAAACCCCAGCAGCCAUAAUUGCUAGUGGGCAGCUAGGAAGAUCGGCACUUUAUGUACAAGAGAAGAGUACUUAUGCACUUGCACAAGUGAACUCCUCUCCAGCUCCAG